rnacentral:rRNA from 1 species
GAUGAACGCUGGCGGCGUGCCUAAUACAUGCAAGUCGAGCGAACGGACGAGAAGCUUGCUUUUCUGAUGUUAGCGGCGGACGGGUGAGUAACACGUGGAUAACCUACCUAUAAGACUGGGAUAACUUCGGGAAACCGGAGCUAAUACCGGAUAAUAUUUUGAACCGCAUGGUUCAAAAGUGAAAGACGGUAUUGCUGUCACUUAUAGAUGGAUCCGCGCUGCAUUAGCUAGUUGGUAAGGUAACGGCUUACCAAGGCAACGAUGCAUAGCCGACCUGAGAGGGUGAUCGGCCACACUGGAACUGAGACACGGUCCAGACUCCUACGGGAGGCAGCAGUAGGGAAUCUUCCGCAAAGGGCGAAAGCCUGACGGAGCAACGCCGCGUGAGUGAUGAAGGUCUUCGGAUCGUAAAACUCUGUUAUUAGGGAAGAACAUAUGUGUAAGUAACUGUGCACAUCUUGACGGUACCUAAUCAGAAAGCCACGGCUAACUACGUG